GGUACAGGUACACGGCCCUGGCCUAGUCCCGUGCCGAACCGUACCGUCUGUACCGAUUAGUUGUAGCCGUCAGAUUUAGGGGAUGAUAGAUCAAUAAUAACCGUUGGAUUAAGUGGUGGUAUAUAAGCAAACAUUAUAGGGCUAGGGUUUCUAUUCUCAAUUUCGUUUCUUUUUUUCUUUCCGUCUCUCCUCUGUCUCUGAGAAGGAGAAUAAGUGAAGAACUCUGUUGGAACUUGGAUUACUCCUCUGUCUCGUUGAUUGAUAUGAGUUUAUGUCUCAGUUCUUACUAAGAGGGUAAGACAAAGGGAAAAGAAAGGAACUGAACUGGAUUAAGUAUCAAUCAGAUUAUCUAAGGGAGUGGAGAAAGAGAAGGAAAAGGUGCUGAAGUGCAGAUUUAAGUUCUUGGAGUUCACUAAUUCAGUAAUUCUAGAGGGUUGCUGAUACUGCACAUUCAAGGUUUGUCAUU